AUGAUUAUAGGGAAAUGGACACUGGUUGAUUCUUUAGAGUUUGAAUAUAACAAUUUUCAGGAAUUUUUGUUUCAUCUAUGCCUAAAUAUAUAUAGAGGGAAGCAGAGCAAUGAGCAGAGGAAAUGUCCAUAUACUUUACUCAAAGUUAAGAGCUCACCCUCUGCUGUCGCCGAUGCAGGAGGCAUGGGCGCUCCAGAGCUCGGCGACGUUGCUGGCAGCUGCACCAUCACGGGGCCAUUGAUGAAGGGCUUGGUCUCGUACUCGAAGCUGCAUCGGGGACCAAGAAGCCUGCCCCCGAUACUGUCGGUGAACUGCACCGGCAACUGCGCGAUCAACUGA
rnacentral:rRNA from 1 species